rnacentral:tRNA from 1 species
GCCCCCAUCGUCCAGCGGCCUCGGACGCCGGCCUUUCAAGCCGGAAACACGGGUUCGAAUCCCGUUGGGGGCA